CGAAGAACCUUACCUGGGCUUGACAUCCCAAGAAUCCCCUGGAAACAGGGGAGUGCCCUUCGGGGAGCUUGGAGACAGGUGCUGCAUGGGCUGUCGUCAGCUCGUGUCGUGAGAUGUUGGGUUAAGUCCCGCAACGAGCGCAACCCUUGCCUUUAGUUGCCAUCAUUCAGUUGGGCACUCUAGAGGGACUGCCGGUGUCAAACCGGAGGAAGUGGGAUGACGUCAAGUCCUCAUGGCCUUUAUGCCCAGGGCUACACACGUGCUACAAUGGGCGGUACAAAGAGCAGCGAGCUCGCGAGAGUAAGCAAAUCUCGAAAAGCCGUCCUCAGUUCGGAUUGGAGUCUGCAACUCGACUCCAUGAAGUUGGAAUCGCUAGUAAUCGCGGAUCAGCAUGCCGCGGUGAAUACGUUCCCGGGCCUU
rnacentral:rRNA from 1 species